AGUGAACGCUGGCGGCAGGCCUAACACAUGCAAGUCGAACGGCAGCACAAGAGAGCUUGCUCUCUGGGUGGCGAGUGGCGGACGGGUGAGGAAUGCAUCGGAAUCUGCCCAUUUGUGGGGGAUAACCUCGGGAAACCGGGACUAAUACCGCAUACGACCUACGGGUGAAAGCAGGGGAUCUUCGGACCUUGCGCAGAUGGAUGAGCCGAUGCCGGAUUAGCUAGUUGGAGGGUUAAAGGCCCACCAAGGCGACGAUCCGUAGCUGGUCUGAGAGGAUGAUCAGCCACACUGGGACUGAGACACGGCCCAGACUCCUACGGGAGGCAGCAGUGGGGAAUAUUGGACAAUGGGCGCAAGCCUGAUCCAGCCAUGCCGCGUGUGUGAAGAAGGCCUUCGGGUUGUAAAGCACUUUUGUUGGGAAAGAAAAGCAGCCGGUUAAUACCCGGUUGUCAUGACGGUACCCAAAGAAUAAGCACCGGCUAACUUCGUG
rnacentral:rRNA from 1 species